rnacentral:rRNA from 1 species
UAACGAUACGGGACUCAUCCGAGGCCCCGUAAUCGGAAUGAGUACACUUUAAAUCCUUUAACGAGGAUCAAUUGGAGGGCAAGUCUGGUGCCAGCAGCCGCGGUAAUUCCAGCUCCAAUAGCGUAUAUUAAAGUUGUUGCGGUUAAAAAGCUCGUAGUUGAAUUUGUGUGCCACGCUGUCGGUUCAUCGCUCGCGAUGUUUAACUGACAUGAUUGUGGGACGUCCUACCGGUGGGCUUGCCGCGGUCUGGCAACGGGCCGUGGCGGCCCAACUGAUAUCCCAUCGCGGUGCUCUUCAUCGAGUGUCGAGGUGGGCCGGUACGUUUACUUUGAACAAAUUAGAGUGCUCAAAGCAGGCUAUUUUCGCCUGAAUACUGCGUGCAUGGAAUAAUGGAAUAGGACCUCGGUUCUAUUUUGUUGGUUUUCGGAACCCCGAGGUAAUGAUUAAUAGGGACAGAUGGGGGCAUUCGUAUUGCGACGUUAGAGGUGAAAUUCUUGGAUCGUCGCAAGACGGACAGAAGCGAAAGCAUUUGCCAAAAAUGUUUUCAUUAAUCAAGAACGAAAGUUAGAGGUUCGAAGGCGAUCAGAUACCGCCCUAGUUCUAACCAUAAACGAUGCCAGCUAGCGAUCCGCCGAAGUUCCUCCGAUGACUCGGCGGGCAGCUUCCGGGAAACCAAAGCUUUUGGGUUCCGGGGGAAGUAUGGUUGCAAAGCUGAAACUUAAAGGAAUUGACGGAAGGGCACCACCAGGAGUGGAGCCUGCGGCUUAAUUUGACUCAACAC